rnacentral:tRNA from 1 species
GGAUGGCUCAGUGGUAGAGUGAGUGCUUAGCACGCACGAGGUCCUGGGUUCAACCCCCGGGCCCUCCA